CCGACCAAAUCACGUUGAAACACCGUCUCCCGUACGAUCACCGAAAUCAAGCAACGUCGUGCCUGGUUAGUAACUAGAUGCUGGACCGCUUCUGAAUAUCAAGUGCUGUAAG